GACGAACGCUGGCGGCGUGCUUAACGCAUGCAAGUCGAACGGAAAGGCCCUUCGGGGUACUCGAGUGGCGAACGGGUGAGUAACACGUGGGUGAUCUGCCCUGCACUUUGGGAUAAGCCUGGGAAACUGGGUCUAAUACCGAAUAGGACCACGCGCUUCAUGGUGUGUGGUGGAAAGCUUUUGCGGUGUGGGAUGGGCCCGCGGCCUAUCAGCUUGUUGGUGGGGUAAUGGCCUACCAAGGCGACGACGGGUAGCCGGCCUGAGAGGGUGACCGGCCACACUGGGACUGAGAUACGGCCCAGACUCCUACGGGAGGCAGCAGUGGGGAAUAUUGCACAAUGGGCGCAAGCCUGAUGCAGCGACGCCGCGUGAGGGAUGACGGCCUUCGGGUUGUAAACCUCUUUCAAUAGGGACGAAGCGCAAGUGACGGUACCUAUAGAAGAAGCACCGGCCAACUACGUG
rnacentral:rRNA from 1 species